GUGCUCGCUUCGGCAGCACAUAUACUAAAAUUGGAACGAUACAGAGAAGAUUAGCAUGGCCCCUGCGCAAUAUUACUAAGCCAUAAAGAAGAUGAAGUUCUGAUACAU
ensembl:snRNA U6 U6 spliceosomal RNA